GCCAGCAGCCAUAUCACCCUACAACUCACAACUAGCAACCCACUAAAGCUAAGCAGGUAUGAGCCUGGUCAGUACCUGGAUGGGAGACCUCCUGGGAAAAACUAAGGUUGCUGCUGGAA
ensembl:rRNA 5S_rRNA 5S ribosomal RNA